rnacentral:rRNA from 1 species
UACGUAGGGGGGCAAGCGUUUGUCCGGAUUUAUUGGGCGUAAAGCGCGUGUAGGCGGUCCGGUAAGUCCGCUGUGAAAGUCGGGGGCUCAACCCUCGAAUGCCGGUGGAUACUGUCGGGCUAGAGUGCGGAAGAGGCGAGUGGAAUUCCUGGUGUAGCGGUGAAAUGCGCAGAUAUCAGGAAGAACACCCUAGUGGCAAGGCGGCUCUCUGGGACGGUACUGACGCUGAGACGCGAAAGCGUGGGGAGCGAACAGGAUUAGAAC